AUAUAUAUAUAUAUAUAUUAUAUAUAAAUGGGUAAAUACCCCACUUUACACUAUGGGUUUAUAUCUAUAUAAUUAAUUAUUAAUUUCUACAUUUAGUAAAUAUAGAAAUGUGGUGUAUCUAGGCAUCCCCUAUGGGAAACACGUUAUUUGAGGAUAUUAUGGGUUAUUUCAGGAUUUAUUGCUAAUUGGCUGUGCCAGGGAGGUUCAGGUGGGACAUAAGGGCAAGGUUCUUCCCGCAGAGGGAUGGCCUUGGAUGAGGAGGUUCCGUUGGUCUCAUCCUUCUCUCCUCUCCCUGUUUUCCAUCUUCUCACGGGGUCUUCCAAAAGAGGCAAAUUCCUGCAGGAUCCAUCUCUGAGCUCUCCUUGCAAACUGCUCCACACAGGAGGGCGGGGAGGCCCUAAAUUCGGGAUAUUCCAAGGAAUCCACAUCCCUGGGAGAGUCCAAGGGCAGCUUGGAGCCCCCUGGGCUGGAGGAAGGUUGGGGUCAGAGUUAGGGUUAGGGUUAGGGUUAAGGUUAAGGUUAAGGUUAGGGUUAGGGUUUCGGUUAUGGUUAGGGUUAAGGUUAAGGUAAGGGUUAGGGUUAAGGUUAGGGUUAAGGUUAGGGUUAAGGUUAGGGUUUGGGUUAGGGUUAGGGUUAGGGUUAAGUUUAGGGUUUGGGUUAGGGUUUGGGUUAGGGUUAGGAUUAUAGUUAGGGUUAAGGUUCGGGUUUUGGGUUAGGGUUAGGGUUAGGGUUAAGUUUAAGUUUAGAGUUUGGGUUUUAGAUCCCUGUCAUUGCCCUUUCAGGGGUAGAUCAGGAUGAGCUUGAAUUCCCUUCCAACCCAAACCAUUUCCCAACUCUCCCAUUCCUCUUCUCCUCCCUUCCAGCC